CCGCAGCCGCUGGCCCGGGUGCUAAGCCCCUCAUUGCCCGGGGCCAGCAGGGCCGGCUGGCCACUCCGAGUGCGGGACCCGCCGAAACCACACCCACCCGGAACUCGCGCUGGCCCGCAAGCGCCGCGCGCAGCCCCGGUUCCCGCCCGCGCCUCUCCCUCCACACCUGCCCGCAAGCUGAGGGAGCCGGCUCCGGCCUUGGCCAGCCCAGAAAGGGGCUCCUACAGUGCAGCGGCGGGCUGAAGGGAUCUUCAAAUGCCGCCAAAGUGGGAGCCCAGGCAGAGGAGGCGCCCAGAGCGAGCGAGGGCUGUGAGGACUGCCAGCACGCUGUCACCUCUCACUAUGCACCUUUCAGAAGUGCAGGCCAUCAGCAAUGCAUGAAGCAGCUCUAACCACAAUCAAGUUACAAGGACACUCAUGAGAAGCUUUUCCAUCUGAGAAACACAAAGAGCUCCAUUGAUUUUGCUAACACCCCAGAGUCUCAACAGCUUGGGAAGCCAAGGCUGAACCCUUAAAGGAGCUGCACUGGGAAGGGAAGAUCUGGUGGAAAACUCAUGCAAGAUUCAGUCUUUGCAGGCAAGGAGCUAAAUCUGACAUGACAGAUAACAGAGUUUUCUGGACUUCUGGAGAAUAAGAUUAUUAUUCUCAAGGAGAGAUGAUCACCUCAGGAAAAUUUGGACUAUUGAAAAAAAAAAAGGUAGUAAAUACAACACAAUUUUUCCUGUUAAACAUUUUGCAUAUAAAGGAAAUACAGUGUGGGCUUUAGAAAUAUUUUGAUAUGAAAGUAGCACUUCAAGAGAUUUGUGGUUUUGCAUCUUCCUCUAGAGCUCUGUACAAGAAAAAUACUCUAUCCCUGCAACUUCACAAAAAUGAUUAGGUAUUGCGUUUGGAAGUACUUAUUAUCAAUAA